CAGCCGCCGCGGUAGUACGAGGGGGGCAAGCGUUGUUCGGAAUUAUUGGGCGUAAAGGGUGCGUAGGCGGUUCAGCAAGUCUCGUGUGAAAUCUUCGGGCUCAACCCGAAGUCUGCACGGGAAACUACUGGGCUUGAGUAAUGGAGAGGUGAGUGGAAUUUCCGGUGUAGCGGUGAAAUGCGUGGAUAUCGGAAGGAACACCUGUGGCGAAAACGGCUCACUGGACAUUUACUGAUGCUGAUGCACGAAAGCUAGGGGAGCAAACAGGAUUAGAUACCCCUGUAGUCCCUGUCUCUUAUAC
rnacentral:rRNA from 1 species